UGGCGGACGGGUGAGUAAUGUCUGGGAAACUGCCCGAUGGAGGGGGAUAACUACUGGAAACGGUAGCUAAUACCGCAUAACGUCGCAAGACCAAAGAGGGGACCUUAGGGCCUCUUGCCAUCGGAUGUGCCCAGAUGGGAUUAGCUAGUAGGUGGGGUAAUGGCUCACCUAGGCGACGAUCCCUAGCUGGUCUGAGAGGAUGACCAGCCACACUGGAACUGAGACACGGUCCAG
rnacentral:rRNA from 1 species